rnacentral:rRNA from 1 species
GCGCCCCGCAAGGGAGCGGCAGACGGGAGAGUAACACGUGGGAACGUACCCUUCGGUUCGGAACAACCCAGGGAAACUUGGGCUAAUACCGGAUACGUCCGAAAGGAGAAAGAUUUAUCGCCGAGGGAUCGGCCCGCGUCUGAUUAGCCAGUUGGUGGGGUAAUGGCCCACCAAGGCGACGAUCAGUAGCUGGUCUGAGAGGAUGAUCAGCCUCACUGGGACUGAGACACGGCCCAGACUCCUACGGGAGGCAGCAGUGGGGAAUAUUGGACAAUGGGCGCAAGCCUGAUCCAGCCAUGCC